UUCAAUCAGUUCAGGCUUCUCUGUUCCCAUCUCUAAGUUAAAACGGACAUUUCCUGACUGGCCAGACACUUGGAGUUCUGAUUUCAUCUCCCUUUAGCAUCUGCCAGGAAAAGAGACAAAAUGCAGAGGUCCAAGAAAGUUCUCUCACAAGAGGACAGCAUCUUGACAGAGAUUCAAUGCUUAGAAGAACUGUACAGAAGAUACAGUAAGUGUGGAGGCUGCUAGAGUCCAAGAGACCAGAGGAAGACCAUGAUAACAAGGUGAUACCAUGACAUGCAUGAAUUGGAUUUCAAUGAGAGAGACCUGUGCAGUCACCAGCCUCACUUUCUCCUUCAGAGCCAUCUGGGUCCAUUGACAAAAUAUAUAGAUACAAAUGACUCAAGAUGGUCCUGUUAGGAGCAGUGAAUAAAAGUUACAAGGAAGUAGAUUUUAACUUGAGAUAGAAUAAUAAUUAGAACUACCCAACAAGAGAAAAGAUUAUUUGUGAAAUAAAAUGGCAAAGCAAGAGGUAUUUUGCAUUGUUAGAGGGAAUUUUUUUCAUUCAGAUUUCCUUCUAUAAAAUAAAAGAUUUGGA